UCAAGAAAACCAUUCUUGAUGCUGUCGGAGAAAAACAGAGUUCUCACUCUAAGGUUGGGUGCAGCAAGAGAUACACUUUAUUCUCUAGCAAUUGCAUGGCAGGAGAGAGUGCACUAGGACACAGGGUUUCCCCCACCUAGUCAGGUCUCUCUACAGAUCUUGUGGUCAUUGGGCAGUUCGAUCAAGGCCAGUUGUCUGCACAGAGCUGGGACGGCACAGAGAGAACACACAUGCAGCCAAACAUCUGAUAACACUCACAAGAUUCUUCACAGCCCAGAUGAAAAGGAUCCAAGGAUUUUAGAAGCAAGGCGUCGUGUGCCAGAUUCUCAGAGGUCCUGGACUGACGAUCUCUGAUGCCAUCACUCACUUUUCAUAAAUCAAAAAGAAAAGAAACACUCAGAUUCUGUGUUUAUAUCCAUUCAAAUAAGGGCAUUGUUACUUUCAAAUCAAAGGCAGAGCAGGAAUUUCCCCCUCACUGGAUUGUGA